rnacentral:rRNA from 1 species
CCUACGGGUGGCAGCAGUAGGGAAUCUUCCACAAUGGACGAAAGUCUGAUGGAGCAACGCAGCGUGAGUGAAGAAGGGUUUCGGCUCGUACAGCUCUGUUGGUAGGGAAGUAAGAUAGAGGUAGUAACUCGCCUUUAGUUGACGGUAAUUACAUCGAACGUCACGGUUAACUACGUGCCAGCAGCCGCGGUAAUACGUAGGUGGCAAGCGUUGUCCGGAUUUAUUGGGCGUAAAGCUAGUGCAGGUGGUUCAAUAAGUCUGAUGUGAAAGCCUUCGGCUCAACCGGAGAAUUGCAUCAGAAACUGUUUACCUUGAGUGCAGAAGAGGAGAGUGGAACUCCAUGUGUAGCGGUGGAAUGCGUAGAUAUAUGGAAGAACACCAGUGGCGAAGGCGGCUCUCUGGUCUGCAACUGACGCUGAGGCUCGAAAGCAUGGGUAGCGAACAGGAUUAGAUACCCUUGUAGUC